rnacentral:rRNA from 1 species
UACGAAGGGUGCGAGCGUUGUUCGGAAUUAUUGGGCGUAAAGCGCACGUAGGCGCCUUGUAAGUCUCACUGUGAAAGCCCGGGGCUCAACCCCCGGGGAGGCCCAGGGGGAUACGUGCGAGGCUGGAGACAAGCAGAGGUUGGUAGAAUUCCGGGUGUAGGCGGUGGAAUGCGUAGAGAUCCGGAGGAAUACCAGAGGCGGAAGGCGGCCAACGUGGGCUUAGUUCUGACGCUGAGGUGCGAAAGCGAUGGGGAGCGAACGGAGGAAUUAUA